CAGGAUCUCAUGGCUUCAAGCUGAAUGCUGCAGGAGCACUGGUCUGCGUUAGGCACGGGAGUCUGAACACGAGACUGGCUGCUCCUGGGGAUGACUCUUGCCAUAGAGCCCGGAACGCUGCAGCCCAUCAUCCCUCCAGAAGGCAGAAGGCAAAGACAGAAUAUCCUCUGGCUGCUCUCUACCCACUGAAGAUGGCAUCUGCUCUCCCCAGAGGCAGCAAAUACCCUGUUCAACUCUGGCCAGCUGGUAAAAGAGAAAACUUAAAGCUUGAUCCUCUUUCACAAAGCCUCAGCGCUGCCGGGGGAACUGAACUGUGACAGAGAAAGCACAGCCAGGGUUGUCUGUGCUUUAGCCAACACCAGGAGACCCUUGGAAACAGUUGGGCAAUGCUUGUGUUUGGAGUGAUUGUGCUGCACCGAGAAAACAAGAACUCGGAGAUGCUUCCAAAAGCUGAAAACAGCACCUGACUUGCUAAAAUGCAGAAUUGCACAAUAUCUGUCCUUCGGUCCGUGGGGAGAGGAGCAGUGGUGGACCCAAAUCCUAUGCUUCCACCAUGAUGGGACUUCUGCAAAAGGAAAGUGACACGAAGCAGAUCAGAUCUAAUCGUUCUUCUGGAUGCUAUUCUCAUCACCAUUGAGCAAAGCCACAAGAUCAUUUCCUACUUCAUUAUUUAGAGCUUUGCCACCUGUACAUCUGGAAUAAACUGUUCUCGUCCUGCA